GCACAGGUGCCCGAGUGGUCUAAGGGGGUGGCCUGCAAAGCCAUCUUUUCGCUGGUUCAAAUCCAGUCCUGUGCU
rnacentral:tRNA from 1 species